ACGAACGCUGGCGGCGUGCUUAACACAUGCAAGUCGAACGAGAUCCAUCCAGUAGCAAUACUGGUGAAGAUCUAGUGGCGAACGGGUGCGUAACACGUGAGGAACUUGUCCCGGUCUCUGGGAUAACAGUUGGAAACGACUGCUAAUACCGGAUGACGUCGGAGCGUCGCAUGGCGCGCUGACGAAAGGGUUACCGGAUCGGGAGAGCCUCGCGGCCUAUCAGCUUGUUGGUGGGGUAACGGCCUACCAAGGCAUCGACGGGUAGCUGGUCUGAGAGGAUGAUCAGCCACACUGGGACUGAGACACGGCCCAGACUCCUACGGGAGGCAGCAGUGGGGAAUCUUGCACAAUGGGCGAAAGCCUGAUGCAGCAACGCCGCGUGCGGGAAGAAGGCCCUCGGGUUGUAAACCGCUUUCAGAAGGAACGAAACUGACGGUACUUUCAGAAGAAGGUGCGGCCAACUACGU
rnacentral:rRNA from 1 species